UGCGAGGGACAUUGUGCGCGCCCCUAUCUUUCUCUUUCAUUCAUCUACCCCUAUCUGUGCACCCUAUGUGGGCUGAAGCAUCUUGGCCCACGCAUAUACACACUUGUAAAUGUUUAAUGAACGAACCAUUCGAGCAUUGUCUUGAUAUAAUGUAAUACAACUUUCAACAACGGAUCUCUUGGCUCUCGCAUCGAUGAAGAACGCAGCGAAAUGCGAUAAGUAAUGUGAAUUGCAGAAUUCAGUGAAUCAUCGAAUCUUUGAACGCACCUUGCGCCCCUUGGUAUUCCGAGGGGCAUGCCUGUUUGAGUGUCAUAAAAUUAUCAACUUGAAGAGCUUUUGGGCUGUUUGAUGGUUGGACUUUGGAGUUGUGCAGGUGCGUCUUGCAUCUGCUCCUCUUGAAAAGCAUUAGCGGUAACCCGAUUGCGGACCUGUCCUGGCGUGAUAACUAUCUACGUUGCGAUGGAGAAGCAGAAGUGAUGGGGGCCACUGCUGAGAACUGUCGCCGGAGGUGACGAAAAAAAUUAUAGACAAUUUUGACCUCAGAUCAGGUAGGAUUACCCGCUGAACUUAAGCAUAUCAAUAAGCGGAGGAAAAGAAACUAACAAGGAUUCCCCUAGUAACUGCGAGUGAAGCGGGAAAAGCUCAAAUUUAAAAUCUGGCGGCCCUUGCGACUGUCCGAGUUGUAAUCUAGAGAAGCGUCUUCCGUGC
rnacentral:rRNA from 1 species